rnacentral:lncRNA from 1 species
UAUGGCUUAUCACAGUUGGCUGGAUAGGAACGAUAGAGUCUUCGAGAGCAGAAGGGCCCUUUUGAGGGUUGUGGUGGAUAGAGCUAUCCGUCAGGCCACUGUGGUCUUUGAGGCUACUAUGACUGUUUCAUCUGAGUUUGCUAGAUAUAUUUGGGUCUCUUCCUCUACGAUAUAGCAUCUAAGUAUGUCCUCACAUCCUGAGAGCCCCCACCCCCUGGCCACCUUAAUGUAAACUUUGAUGGUAGUUUGUCAGCUGAUGGAGGAGGCACAUGUGU